AGCCAAGGGAUCCGCGGCAAACCAACCAUUUCGGCUAGCCAAGUCGUCAGAGGCAGCCAACCAAGCCAAGCUGGCCAGGUCCAGUUCCUCCACACGCCACUGAGCAAGUGCUAACAACUUGUCCAAAGCGGCCGCCGUCGUCCGAGCGAUUUGAUUUCACUGACCUCAAUUAUGGCUGCUGUUGGCCAACAAUGCAACUGAGAUGGCCGGGAGCUGGUCUCUGGUCUCCCAGAGACCCGAAGACCCGAGACUUCUGCUGGUCUCUUGGCCUAUUGAAUUAUUCAUUUGGUCGGACCUCAAGCCGAAAAAAUAAAAAUGUAAGGAGAAGAGCCCACACAGACAAAAAUUUCACAAGGAACAGGGUCUUCACUUUUAUCAGAAAACCACUCAGAAAUAAGAAAUAAAAAGCUUAAGGUAUUAAUAUAUUAUUAAGGUAUACAAUUUACCUUAUAUUCUUCCAAAACUAAUAGCCAAAAUUGAGUUGAAACUUCUCAGUGCAAGCAUACAAAAGUCCAUAAAAAUGUAUGGACGUUGGCAACACCGGGCAAAUGGCAAAUGCCAAACAGCAGCGACAACUUGGCUAAUUACAGCAGAUAUUUGGCCAUUUCAGCUGCUAGCCAAAUGUGUAUUUGUUCAGUUCCAAGUCCUCUACCAAAGCACUUAGCACUGGAAGCAGCCAGUUGGUUGGAGCUUAAGAGCUCCCUGGCAUUCUGUCUGGGAUUUGCAUCCGAGAGCAUGGCCAGCUUUUGUUGUCAAGGAAUUUCAUAGCCACAAUGGAAAGGAUUUGGACCAUGGAAUUGAGGGUUUAUCUUGAGAAACUCACGAUCUGGGCUUAGUUUUGCUAUAAAAGGGCACUCUUCAAAGACUGGUAUUCAGUAAUCGUUUAAAAUGAAAGUAUUCAGGAAGCUAUUGAUGAUCAUGGUAGUGGUUGUUUUUCUCAUAGACCAAAGGGACAGUCGCAUUUUGUAUAUAAAACGAAAGAUUACUUCCUAAAAUAAAUGUUUUAAAAAAGUA